UUCCUAAAAGUUAGUCGCGCAAUAUUUCAGAACCCUAUGAAAACCACCCCAAUACCUCUGCUCGCAAAAACCCGCAAACCCUCUCUACCGCCGCUCUGCACCGUCGUUUUUCACUCUUCAGCGCCUCUCCCUUGCACCUCUUUCCGGCGGCCUCCCAACCUCCGGUAAAACUCUCAAAAAACCACUCCCUCUGCUCGCAAGAAAACUCGCAAAACUCUGCACCGCCGCUCUGCACCACCGCUCCUCACUCUGCACCGCCGCUCCCUUGCACCUCUUUCCGUCCGCCUCCCAACCUCCUGUAAAACCCGGCUUCCCCACCGCUUCCACGAGUGGUACCGGCUAUCUGAACUUUCUCUUGGAACUGAUUAGUGGAAGAUUGAAGUUGAUCAAACAAGGAGAUUCUUUAUUUUUGGUAAUGUUGUUGUGGUUAUUGUUUCUUUUUACUCUUUGUUUUGGAACUAUCGUGGAAUUGGACGAGUUUUUAUUGUGUGUUUCCUAGUGGACUUGGAUUCCGUACAAAGGGCAAAACACAAAUACAAGGCUGCCUGAGAGAGGUGACUCAGUUGCUACUCAGGCUGGCUAUUAGCAGGUUUUCAUUUCAUCCAAGGUCAGAGAUUCAUCAUAUAUAGAGACAUGAUGGGACAUCUAUUUGGGAAGAAAUUGUACUUUGUAACAUGGUUUCUUCAAUUUUCAACCUUCAUUUUGGUAAAUAUGGGUUUCAUCCUUCUCUGAGGCAGAGCACUGAAGGUAUGUCUUUCAUUUUACCUGUGAGGGGGUCGAAAAAGCACGAGGCUAAUGCGUGACCUCGUCCCUCGUGGGCGUGACGUUGUCAGAUCAAGUGUAAUUGGAUUUCCUGUGAGUUUACACCUAAUUGACUAGUAAUGUAGGAGUCGCCAUUCAGUUUUUGAAGGAAAUAA